rnacentral:rRNA from 1 species
UACGUAGGAAGCAAGCGUUGUCCGGAAUCACUGGGCGUAAAGCGCGUGUAGGCGGUGCGGGAAGUCUGCUGUGAAAGCGCCUGGCUCAACCGGGCGAGGUCGGUGGAAACUCCUGCACUCGAGGUCAGUAGAGGCGGAUGGAAUUCCCGGUGUAGUGGUGAAAUGCGUAGAGAUCGGGAGGAACACCUGAGGCGAAGGCGGUCCGCUGGGCUGCACCUGACGCUGAGACGCGAAGGCGCGGGGAGCGAACGGG